CGCGCAGGCGGCCUUGUAAGUUGGAUGUGAAAGCCUACGGCUCAACCGUAGAACUGCAUCCAAAACUACUAGGCUAGAGUGUGGGAGAGGAAGAUGGAAUUAGUUGUGUAGGGGUAAAAUCCGUAGAGAUAACUAGGAAUACCAAAAGCGAAGGCAAUCUUCUGGAACAUUACUGACGCUGAGGCGCGAAAGCGUGGGGAGCAAACAGGAUUAGAUACCCUGGUAGUCC
rnacentral:rRNA from 1 species